CAGUAUUCAAUUGUCAGAGGUGAAAUUCUUGGAUUUAUUGAAGACUAACUACUGCGAAAGCAUUUGCCAAGGAUGUUUUCAUUAAUCAGUGAACGAAAGUUAGGGGAUCGAAGACGAUCAGAUACCGUCGUAGUCUUAACCGUAAACUAUGCCGACUAUGGGAUCGGGCGAUGUUCUUUUUCUGACUCGCUCGGCACCUUACGAGAAAUCAAAGUUUUUGGGUUCUGGGGGGAGUAUGGUCGCAAGGCUGAAACUUAAAGAAAUUGACGGAAGGGCACCACCAGGCGUGGAGCCUGCGGCUUAAUU
rnacentral:rRNA from 1 species